UAGUCUGACAGCACUCAUCCAAACCCACACAUAUGAAUAUUUUAAUGGUUAAAACAAACAAUUAUUAAAACUAUUAAUUAUUUUUUUCCUAAAUUGUUAACAUUUCAGGAGUUUCUUCCUGUUGUGAAUCAUAAUGUUUUAGAUCUUAACCAGCUGAUUUUUGAUCAUUUUUAAUUUUUGGAACAAAAGAUUCUCAACAAAAGAUACAGAAUUUGUUUCUAUUUUUAUUAAAAUUGAGUUGAUCUCAGUCUUAAAGCAUCCCAUAAAAAUAAUUAAACAUGUCAGAAAUGUUUAAAGGUUGUUUCACUUGAGCUGAUCUAAAUCCUUUAAUGAUUUAAAUGUUGGAGUCUGUGAGAGAAUGAAAAGUGCACAGUCAACUUGUUUGAAGCGUCUGAACCGAGGAAACUGAUGAUGAGGUCAGACUGAGGUGACUGAGUGACACAAUGACUGUAUUCAUGAGUGAACGAAUGAAUGGAAAACACAGAUUCCUCUGUUUACUGUCCCACUGCUGCAAGGCCUUCUGGGUAAUACGAGAAACACUCCUCAGUCUAAUUCAAUCUGUCUAAUGUCUCCAAACCAGUCUAAUCCAUGAGGUUUAACCAGUCUAAACCCAAUUUAUAACCAGUCUAAUCCAUGAGGUUUAACCAGUCUAAACCCAGUUUAAAUCAGUCUAAUCCAUGAGGUUUAACCAGUCUAAACCCAAUUUAAACCAGUCUAAUCCAUGAGGUUUAACCAGUUUAAACCAGUCUAAUCCAUGAGGUUUAACCAGUCUAAACCCAAUUUAAACCAGUCUAAUCCAUGAGGUUUAACCAGGCUAAACCCAAUUUAAACCAGUCUAAUCCAUGAGGUUUAACCAGUCUAAACCCAAUUUAAACCAGUCUAAUCCAUGAGGUUUAACCAGUCUAAAGCCAAUUUAAACCAGUCUAAUCCAUGAGGUUUAACCAGUCUAAACCCAAUUUAAACCAGUCUAAUCCAUGAGGUUUAACCAGUCUAAAGCCAAUUUAAACCAGUCUAAUCCAUGAGGUUUAACCAGUCUAAAGCCAAUU